GACGAACGCUGGCGGCGUGCCUAAUACAUGCAAGUAGAACGCUGAAGAGAGGAGCUUGCUCUUCUUGGAUGAGUUGCGAACGGGUGAGUAACGCGUAGGUAACCUGCCUGGUAGCGGGGGAUAACUAUUGGAAACGAUAGCUAAUACCGCAUAAAAUGGAUUAUCGCAUGAUAAUCCAUUGAAAGGUGCAAAUGCAUCACUACCAGAUGGACCUGCGUUGUAUUAGCUAGUUGGUGGGGUAACGGCUCACCAAGGCGACGAUACAUAGCCGACCUGAGAGGGUGAUCGGCCACACUGGGACUGAGACACGGCCCAGACUCCUACGGGAGGCAGCAGUAGGGAAUCUUCGGCAAUGGACGGAAGUCUGACCGAGCAACGCCGCGUGAGUGAAGAAGGGUGUCGGAUCGUAAAGCUCUGUUGUAAGAGAAGAACGAGUGUGAGAGUGGAAAGUUCACACUGUGACGGUAUCUUACCAGAAAGGGACGGCUAACUACGUG
rnacentral:rRNA from 1 species